AAAACCCUGCAGCAGGGCUGGCUAGGAAAAGCAAUCUUUUGGCAAGAAGUUUUCAGCUCGCUGCCUCGUGCUGCAAGAUAAUGCAGGCGAGAGGGACGUCACCGCUCGCAUACGAGCGAGGAAGUUCUGCCUUCUCCUGGUCCCUGCUGAGGGGAGAUGACUGACCUGCCCAAGCCGGGACGAUGGAUCUGUCAAAAAAUCCAACCUGUGGCUUAAGAGCUCACAUCCCAGAAUGACACAGAGGCCUGAAAAUGUGCAAUUUCCAAACAGAAGUGGGACCUGACAUUUUGCACUGACUGGGUUAAACUGGCCCUGAGUUGUGGCCUCCGAGCCUUUUGGAAGUCGGCACACCUGGGAGCAGAAUGAAAUGUGACACACAUCUGACAGCUCCAGGUGAAAGGAAAGCCCAAAUCCCAGCAUAUAGAUAAACUUUCUAGACAAUAGAGGACAAAAGAAGUGGUGAUACCUAGGUUAGCAGCUCUGGUGUGUGAGAUGGCAACGGCGUGCCAGAGUGCCAGACAAACUGUUUAAAAUCAGCUGGAGCAUGGAGAAGAAAAAAUGAAGUGGGAUUCCUACAUCUCUGCCUUACAAGGAAGCCCACUGAACUACGUUUAUAACGUCACUGCUUUCUCCGGCAGUAAAAUGAUUACACUGGGGCAACAAGCCGCUAUCCCUGCCCAGCUGGUGCUGCGUUCUGCCCCCACAAUCAAUCUUGUGGUGAAGAAUUUCUAAUAACAACUUUUGAACAGGAUAAUUUUGCUUUUCCAUUCCUGAGGGUCGUUACAAGCAGUUCCCGCUGCAGCCCUGCCCCGUGUCAAGACAAAAAGUACUCCGUGGUAGAUCCCAAGGAAACAGGAGUAAUCCUGGAUCUAAGUACAGUGGUCUGAGUCGGCCAGUUACAAAAAUCCCCACAGCUAUACAGGAGACAAUGGGCUUCCUUCUGCCAGGCGGUACAGCACGCAAAGCAAAGCCAGAGCUGCUGGACUGCAGGGAACGGUGCCGGUGGGGAAAUGUGACUGUCUGACUGCGAGAAGUCCUCUGCGCUUGAACUUGAUGCUGCCAGGGAGAGCGCUGCCUCCCUUCAAAGGCUCAGUAAUUUUUGACAGUGUUAUCCACUGAGCCCAGAUCUGCACAGAGUAAGCCUUGCUACGCAUAGCAAAGCAGACAGCCGGGGGACAGAGGAGCAAUGCAAGGGACAAUGACACCAGGCCUUUAGUAGCAUCUGCUGGCUGAAGAGAGGGGGAUGAGAAAUUUCUGUGUGAUGUUCUUGCAAGAUGGCAUUUCCAUCAAACUGUAGGCCUGAGACGGGCUGUGAUUGUGGCUUCCUUCUCACCUGGACCACCCGAGACAUCAAUGGUUGUUAGAGACAUAAGUCUUUAUAGGGGGGAAAACAUUGCUUUCUGUGUCUUUAAACAGUAUCAGUCAGUAAUGGAAACACUAAAUCAGGGACUGAACCAGUGAUGGAGCACCUGAUAGGAAGGCAGGGCCAGCACAGGUGUAUGCAAUGCAGCUGAGUGGCUGGAAGGGCUGGAACCAGGAUCCACCCCUUCCCAGACCUCAUUUAAGGGUUGGCAGUGGAAAUGCUAGCCUUUCCCACUGGGGAUCCCUGCCUACCUGAGGCCUUCCAAAGGUAAAAAACAGUCCUCCAAAGACAGAUAACUUGAUACAGACAAGAUAAUUGCUUGCCCAAGGUAUUUAUGAAAUGGAAAAGGAAGAUGAACUUGACGUUUGCUGGGUACCACAGGUAUGUAACUGGCUCAGUACUGGAAGGGCAGCAGCUUUGGAACUCUGAGAGGGAGAAGGAACUUAUUCAGCAUGAUCCCAUCCCACAUCAAGAUAAAAUCUGAACUUCAACCCUCUCCGUCCGCUCUAGACAUCUAGACAAAUGAUUUAACACAUGGAAGAAUUUCCCGAAUAGCUCUGCAACUGAACUUGACAUUUCUUGCAUGAAACUGUGAGGUCCUGGGAAUCUGGGUGCCCAGUUAUCGUGGAAGUCCUGUUUUGAAGGAAGAAACAACCAAAUGAAACUAAAGGUUUAGCUUGGAGCUAAGCGGUUGACUUCACCUGCUAAUGAGUCAUCAAUUCCGGACGGUUGACAGAUUCUCUUCACUAGUAAAUAUCAUUUCUUCCAAGAAACCAGAGAUUUGGCAGUUUAUGAACCCCAGUGACAAUAUUAAUAAGAACAAUGCCACAUCUGGGUCUCCCAGUGCAUUUUCUCAUUUCCUUGAUUGAAUUAUAGAGAUGUUCAGUGGCACCGAAUGCGUCUCCCUUUGUUUUCUGAAGCAACAAGCAGGCUACUGGUGCCUAACAAAUCGACUACACUAACAAAUCCAAGCACAGUGCUGCGAAGCAGAUACUGAAACUCAGUGAGUCUUAACUUGCUUUCCGGUAGGCAUGGCCCUGGAGUUGCUAGAGAUAUUUGAUGCUAUUCCAUGUGAGAUUAUCACAGCAUUAUUAACCUCUAGGCUCAUCUCUCUCUAAUGUCACAUCUAGAUUUGACUUCGCUUCAGAUUUCAUAUAAGCCAAGUCUACUCACCGUUC